rnacentral:rRNA from 1 species
GAUGAACGCUGGCGGCGUGCCUAAUACAUGCCAGUCGAGCGAACAGACGAGGAGCUUGCUCCUCUGACGUUAGCGGCGGACGGGUGAGUAACACGUGGAUAACCUACCUAUAAGACUGGGAUAACUUCGGGAAACCGGAGCUAAUACCGGAUAAUAUAUUGAACCGCAUGGUUCAAUAGUGAAAGACGGUUUUGCUGUCACUUAUAGAUGGGUCCGCGCCGCAUUAGCUAGUUGGUAAGGUAACGGCUUACCAAGGCAACGAUGCGUAGCCGACCUGAGAGGGUGAUCGGCCACACUGGAACUGAGACACGGUCCAGACUCCUACGGGAGGCAGCAGUAGGGAAUCUUCCGCAAUGAGCGAAAGCUUGACGGAGCAACGCCGCGUGAGUGAUGAAGGUCUUCGGAUCGUAAAACUCUGUUAUUAGGGAAGAACAAAUGUGUAAGUAACUAUGCACGUCUUGACGGUACCUAAUCAGAAAGCCACGGCUAACUACGUG